CCCUACGGGGCGCAGCAGUAGGGAAUAUUGCUCAAUGGGGGAAACCCUGAAGCAGCAACGCCGCGUGGAGGAUGAAGGUUUUCGGAUUGUAAACUUCUGUCGCGAGGGACGAAGAAUGACGGUACCUCGUAAGAAAGCCCCGGCUAACUACGUGCCAGCAGCCGCGGUAAUACGUAGGGGGCAAGCGUUGUCCGGAAUGACUGGGCGUAAAGGGAGUGUAGGCGGCUCAUCAAGUUAGAUGUGAAAUCCCGCGGCUUAACCGCGGAACUGCAUCUAAAACUGGUAAGCUGGAGUGCAGGAGAGGG
rnacentral:rRNA from 1 species